UCCGAGUUGACCCCGGCAGUUUCCUAUGAGUCCCCACCAUUACGUGCUGGCAACAUAGGACGAGGGUUGCGCUCGUUGCGGGACUUAACCCAACAUCUCACGACAUGAGCUGACGACAGCCAUGCAGCACCUGUGUUCCCGCCAGCCGAACUGAAGGACCUCAUCUCUGAAAUCCGCGAUGAGGAUGUCAAACGCUGGUAAGGUUCUGCGCGUUGCUUCGAAUUAAACCACAUGCUCCACCGCUUGUGCAGGCCCCCGUCAAUUUCUUUGAGUUUUAACCUUGCGGCCGUACUCCCCAGGCGGUCGACUUCACGCGUUAGCUUCGUUACUGAGAGUGUCAAACCCCCAACAACCAGUCGACAUCGUUUAGGGCGUGGACUAC
rnacentral:misc_RNA from 1 species